AUGGACGCUGCCCACCUGCUUAAGAGCAGAGUAAACAACCUGGACGCCCGCUGCGCAGACUCUCCUGUGAUGCUCGGAGGGUGGCUGAGUGCCUGCCACCAGAAAGUAUAUCGGGCUCUGUCACGGGGCAGUAGGCUGUGCGUGGAUAAAGUGGUCAUCUGGUCCAACGCUCCUUCUGCAGUGGGGCCCUCGGGCUCCAGCAGGCCUCGGUCACCCGUGUCCAGAAGCAAAACUGGAAUCAGAACGGUCACCCACCGUCCCGGCCACCCUUCGUGUCACAUGCCUAGAGCUCCACUUUCUUCUGUGGGUGAUGCCUGGGAGCUGGAUGAACACAGACGGAUUCUGAGCUACACAUGUGAAUUUAUCCUACAGCGGCAGAAUCUAAAAACAUCAAGGGACAUAAGAAUUCAGGAAGUCAGUCUUCGCAGAACAAGGAAGGAAAGCAUUGCAUUUUCAGGGGCAAGGCUGGAAGCAUGCAAAUAACUUUAAACUGUUUUUACAACUGGUCUGCCAUUGUGCCAGAUCUGAGCUUUUUUCCCAGUCAGUGGGGAGAUUUUUAAUAACUCUUCGCAUUUUCUGGACCAUCUGGGGCUUGUAUCUGCGAUUUUCGUGUACCCACGCCUGUGUAGUGACUUAUACCCGCUGUCGAUGGGCCCGUCUUAGACUGGGCUCCCCCAGAAGCAGACCCCACAACCAAGUUGGGAGUGUAGGUCAUGGGCUUUGUGGGUGAUUCUACAAAAGCAGUGAUGAGUGAGUUGGGAGAGCCUCCAGCGAGGGUAGAAAGCCAAUACUAGGUGCUCCAAAGCAGGUCACCCCUCUGGGCAUUCGGAGGAUGGCGAUGCGGAGGCCUGUGAUCUGGCUUGGGUUUUAACGGGACCCUCCUCCCCCCCGCCACUGCUGUGUUUGGAAUAAACAGAAAGGGGGGCGAGAUGGAUUCAGGCAGCCUGGACAGGAGGCAACUGCAAUAGUCCGAGUGAGACGUGGGUGUGUGACAGGGGUGCUGCCCACAGGCUGCGUGCACAACCCGAGGAGGCGCCACUGCAGGAACAUCGUCGGGACGGAGCAGUCGCCCAGAUGGAGUCAGGGACUCGGCUGCAAAUGUGGAGAAAAGGGCUCGGAUUCUGGACCUAUUUGGGUGGUUAGGCCAGCAGGACUCGCCAACAAGGUCACCUUGGAAAGCGAAUCACCUUUCAUUGUUUUCCCCAGAGGGCUCCUCUCUGCAGAGCAGAUGAAGGGGAGAACUUUCAUUUCAAUUCUCAGGAAUCAGUGGGGUCAUCCAUCUCCCAAGAGCCUGGGGAAGACAAACUGGAAAGUGAGCUCAGAUAUACCGUGAAAGUCAAGGUGCCUAUGGAUAGAAUGUCCUGUGUCGUCAAUGACACUGUCAGAAUUUGUAAGAAUUUCCUGAAGGGAAAAAUAGUUUGUCUCUGAUGGAUGUUCUGUUUUAGAGACACAAUUAAUCACAACAUCUUAAGAAAUCAAUUUCUUUAAUAGCAAAAUAAUCUAUAUUUUGCCAACUGGAAACAUCGGUUUUAUUUAAGAAAAGCUCUCCCUCUGUGGAUCGUACUUCUUGGCACCAGGAGGGAGAAUGCUGUCCAUGAGCGUAGUUUGCAAUUCACUGAGGAAAUAAUGUUCUCAGGCAGAGAGCCUUAAAAGGCUUUUCCUUUAUCAAAUGGAUUUUUAUUCAGAAAUAGAUUUGACAAGUAAACAGUACAAUAUGCAACAGUUGUUUUCCAAAUUUCUGAGCAUAUAAACAUUUCUAGGGCACAUCGUGCAGUAAUCCAGAAUAGAGGAAUUUUUUGAUGUUGAUUUAGUCCAUUUCCAUUGGCCCCAGUGUGAGACCCCCUCCCCAGGCUUUGGAAAGGGGUCUCUGGUCUCUCUCCACACAUCCAGAACUGGGUUUGCCCAACCACCCACCACAUCCUGUCUGAGACAUGGAAAGUCCUGUUUAUCAGAAAUCUGCCCUCUGUACUUUCCCAUGGGCUCUAGGUCUGCCUUCUGGAAUUGCAAAGAAUUUGUACAGCUCCUUUUCGACAGAAGAGCCUGGGGGGCUACAGUCCACGGGGUCGCAAAGAGUCGGACACGACUGAGUGAGCAACACUUUCACUUAUACUUUUUACCGAAGAGAUGAAGACGGCCAUCAAGUCCUUACUAAAAUUUCACUUUUCUCCAUCCCCAUUUUCCCAGUUCCUUCACGGACCGCAGUGAUCCAGGCUGAGGAGUGACCGCUGCGAGAGGCUGUUUUUACUAAGUCAUAUCAAAGGUCCAUUGUUCCCACAAAAUCUCCCCAGUGCGCUCCCCUUCCAUCCCCGCAUUUCUCGAUGGAGCUGGGUGUAGGCCAGAGCCUGGAGUGCCCCAUCCCUGGCAGUGGGCUUAAGAGGUGGGGUCACUUUGGGGAAAAGGAUCCGCUUGCUUGAAAACGGGGAAGGAACUUGGCUCACUCUGACUCAGAGGUUCAGCACUUUUGGAAGAGAAACAGCAGCAUCCCGAAUCCACCAGGGUUGGAAGGAAUCUCUUCAGAGAGAAGGGCUUGGUUUUAAAAUGUUAGCUGCUUCUGUCAUCUUCCUGACAGGCCCAGCCUUUUAUAAAUCUGCUUUUAAUUAAGCAAGGGUUUUCUUAUUGUGUUCCC
ensembl:lincRNA